rnacentral:rRNA from 2 species
AAAUAACAAUGAUUUCCCUAGUAACGGCGAGUGAAGAGGAAAGAGCUCAAAGUUGGAAACUGUUUGGCUUAGCUAAACCGUAUUGUAAACUGUAGAAACAUUUUCCUGGCACACCAGAUUAAUAAGUCCUUUGGAACAAGGCAUCAUGGAGGGUGAGAAUCCCGUCUUUGAUCUGAGUAGUUGUCUUUUGUGAUAUGUUUUCAAAGAGUCAGGUUGUUUGGGAAUGCAGCCUAAAUUGGGUGGUAAAUCUCACCUAAAGCUAAAUAUUUGCGAGAGACCGAUAGCGAACAAGUACCGUGAGGGAAAGAUGAAAAGAACUUUGAAAAGAGAGUUAAACAGUAUGUGAAAUUGUUAAAAGGGAACCGUUUGGAGCCAGACUGGUUUGACUGUAAUCAACCUAGAAUUCGUUUUGGGUGCACUUGCAGUCUAUACCUGCCAACAACAGUUUGAUUUGGAGGAAAAAAUUAGUAGGAAUGUGGCCUUUCGAGGUGUUAUAGCCUACUAUCAUACUCUGGAUUGGACUGAGGAACGCAGCGAAUGCCAUUAGGCGAGAUUGCUGGGUGCUUUCGCUAAUAAAUGUUAGAAUUUCUGCUUCGGGUGGUGCUAAUGUUUAAAGGAGGAACACA